CACUCGGCCUCCAUUUGCUUUUAUAGACAUGACUUCAAGGCAUGACCUCAGCGGUAGCACUUGUCAGUUGGGAGCUCAGAUGGCCUCGGGCUGGAAGCAGGCUCUGCCUUGCUCCUGCUUCCCCUCCUUGCCCCAGCUCUGAUCUGCCCAGUGCUUUGUAUCAUAGCCUCGACGUCGAGGGAUACUUUGUGCUGCUGAUUGUCUCACUUCUACAAGGAAAGAAUCAGGGCAUUUGGCACCCGAUAGCGAGACCUCCUUUCACUAUUUACUCAUGUACAGGAGGCGUGGGAAUGAAAUGAGGAUAAGAGAUGCUGACACCGUGUUUCAUCCUGCACAGGCAGCACUGCUGCUGGUGGAGUUGAUUGCAAUCCACUGGGAAAGACUUGGUAGCUCCAGGUAAGCAACUGCUGUCAUUUUGCUCUUUGAUUUUAGCAUUGCUGAAGUCAGAGGAAGAAACAUUUGGAUGCUAUUGAGAGGGUCAAUACAUUGUUAAAUGUCAGCGUUGGUUGGAACAACUAAGCCUUUUGGGUAUGCCCACCUUUGGUGUCAUAGCUGCUGUCCCUUCCCUACGGUGGGGUGUUGCUGCCUGUAGUGAUACAACAACAGAAGGAAAUGCUUGAAAAGUGACUCAAAAAAGGGAGGGUUACAUGAACCUAGCAGGCAGCUCUCAUUUUACACAGUUUGCCUCUGCCCACUGGGCCAGGGAUUUGUAGCUGAAAUGCCAUCUGUACUUUGUAGGCUCUUAUCUCUCUGGUGUGCUGAGAUAGCACCUGAUUACCAUAGUAUCGGAGCAUCUAGCUCUCUGUGAUGUAUUCAUCCUCAUAGCAAGCCUGGGGAUAGAAACCAGGAGACAACCUAAUUACUUCUUGCACUCUGCACAUAAAUUAUUGCUCCCAAACAUUUAAAGGAGACAGGAAGGGAUGCUGGGAAAGGUGCUAAAGGAACCGUUCUUCAUCCACAGCGGGCUUGUGCAUGAUCAGAAAUUGAAGGACUGGUGCUGUAAUGGCACCAGUGAUUGUCAGGAGGCCUCUCAGUGCAUCCCAGCUUGUUGAGGUCACUCCUGCAAGAUGGGGUGGCAAUAGGAUGACUGGGAUUAAAUUCACUUUGGAAUGGAAAGAUCUUGACUCAAGAGGAUCUGAAGUGUAGAGGGGUUGGCUGGCCUUAGGGUUCCUUGAGAUGGACCCGACCUCCAGCUUUUCACUUAACAUAUUGCCCCCACUGAACACACAUACACAAAGAUCCUCUUCUGCAUUAAACUGAAUGAUCACAUCCAGCUACCUGAAAAGCUGCCUUGCAAAAAAUCCCUUGGCGAGCAUAAAAUGAAACCAGAGGACCCCUUCUCGCCUUCAUUCUUAGAGGAAGAGAUUCAGAAACAACAUGAUUUAUGGGAAUUCCUAAGAAGAAGAUGAGAGUUUGAGCUUCAUCUUCCUUAAAUAGCCCUCUGUGAGGCUUACAAAAGCUUUUCCCACAUGCUGAGCUUUCAGAGCCAUGGGACAGGUUCCCCCCCAAGGCACUGAUCUUGCACAGCUCAGUAAAAUGCAGAGGGUGGCUAAAUCUGAGCUCCAAAUCGCAUCACUGACACGGAUGCACCGCGUCCAAAACAGCGUGUCCAGCACCGACCCACCACAUCUGUCACACUGACCUUCACCCACCAGGUCACUUGUCAGCAGCUCCACAUUCCCGGCUGGAGGAUGGAAAUGAGCCUGUUUGAGCCGACGGGAGCUCAGCAGAAACUCAUCAGCAGAGGAGCAAAGUUUACAGCUCAGAUGAAAGGCUUCAAAACUUGUCUCGGGGAGGUUGGGGGCCCUUCGUGCCCUGUUGAUGGAAUUCCAUCACCUUGUAACUGUGACAGGUUAUAAUCAACCUGCCCGAUUUGAAUCUUGUCCAUAGCUAGGAGUUUUAAUUUGAUAUUCACCAUUUGCUCCAUCUGCAUCAUGAAUGUGCCCUGCUAAAAGGAAAGCCUCCCUGACCUGCUUCCUCCAGGCAACGGGCUAACUUCCUCAUGCAGCCAGCCAGCGAUUGAGGUGUUUCAAUGCUGCUACCCAAGAGACAGAUGUUAAGGGCAAGUGGUUCAUCAGAAAGGGUUUUUUACUCUUUGUUGGACUACCUAAGAGGAAAAGGCAUUAAAUAGCCAGGCUAAUCACCUGUGUGACAGCACUCCACAUUGUGAGUUUCAUUUGGCUCCUGAUGGAGAUAUUAUCACUGUAGGACCUAAAAAAGGGUCAGUUGUGCUCUGUAAGCAGAUCUGUGUCCUGAGAGAUCCUUCAGCUGGAGCACAAAGGCCUCCAGCAAAAGAAGUAAGACUAUUCAACCAGGAGGUGUGCUUCAAACACUUCAUCAGGGUCACUGGGCAAAGGUAAGCCUUCUGUCUGGAAGCGAAUUGUGUGAAACGAAGGUGUCACUCUUCUUGUUACCACUUCUCACCCCUGAUUGCAUGGCAAAAGGGACAGGAAAGCCUCAACACUCCAUCAUUGUAAGUGAAACAUCUUAUUCUGGUCAAAAGCCAUUUUAGCACUAAUAAUUGCUUGCUUCUGUAUGACUUUUUGGGAAGGGGGACACUUUAGGCCAUGCUUGUGGGUUCUCCUCCACAAUCAUCAUACAUAUUUUUAAGUAGCUACAUGAGUCCAGGUCUACCGCAU